AGAGUUUGAUCCUGGCUCAGGAUGAACGCUAGCGGCAGGCCUAACACAUGCAAGUCGCGGGGCAGCGCGGUGCAGCAAUGCACUGGCGGCGACCGGCGCACGGGUGCGUAACGCGUAUGCAACCUGCCCAUUCCCGGGGGAUAGCCCGCCGAAAGGCGGAUUAAUACCCCAUGGACCCUUAGCCCCGCAUGGGGCGGAGGGUAAAGCUCCGGCGGGAAUGGAUGGGCAUGCGUGCCAUUAGCUGGUUGGUGGGGUAACGGCCCACCAAGGCUACGAUGGCUAGGGGGUCUGGGAGGAUGAUCCCCCACACUGGUACUGAGACACGGACCAGACUCCUACGGGAGGCAGCAGUGAGGAAUAUUGGUCAAUGGGCGGAAGCCUGAACCAGCCAUGCCGCGUGCAGGACGACGGCCCUACGGGUUGUAAACUGCUUUUCCGGGGGAAGAAUAACCCCCCUGCGGGGGGGGAUGCCGGUACCCCGGGAAUAAGGAUCGGCUAACUCCGUGCCAGCAGCCGCGGUAAUACGGAGGAUCCUAGCGUUAUCCGGAUUUACUGGGUUUAAAGGGUGCGUAGGCGGGCGUUUAAGUCCGCGGUGAAAGUCUGCGGCUCAACCGUAGGAUUGCCGUGGAUACUGGACGUCUUGGAUUCGGUCGGGGCGGGCGGAAUGCGUGGUGUAGCGGUGAAAUGCAUAGAUAUCACGCAGAACGCCGAUAGCGAAGGCAGCUCGCCGGGCCGAAAUCGACGCUGAGGCACGAAAGCGUGGGGAUCAAACAGGAUUAGAUACCCUGGUAGUCG
rnacentral:rRNA from 1 species